GACGAACCGAGCGAACGUUGUUCGGAAUCACUGGGCUUAAAGGGCGCGUAGGCGGGCUGCAAAGUCCGGGGUGAAAGCCCCCCGCUCAACGGGGGAACGGCCUCGGAUACUGGCGGUCUGGAGGCGGGUAGGGGCAAGCGGAACUGUGGGUGGAGCGGUGAAAUGCGUUGAGAUCCACAGGAACUCCGGUGGCGAAGGCGGCUUGCUGGACCCGAACUGACGCUGAGGCGCGAAAGCCAGGGGAGCGAACGGG
rnacentral:rRNA from 1 species